rnacentral:rRNA from 1 species
AGCCAUGCAUGUCUAAGUAUAAACGAUUUAAUCGUGAAACCGCGAAUGGCUCAUUAUAACAGCUAUAAUUUACUUGAUCUUGACACAAUCCUACUUGGAUAACUGUGGUAAUUCUAGAGCUAAUACAUGCAUUAAAGCUCUGACCUCACGGGAAGAGUGCAUUUAUUAGAACAAAACCAAGCGGCUUCGGCUGUUUCUGGUUGACUCAUAGUAACUGAGCUGAUCGCAUGGUCUUGCACCGGCGACGUGUCUUUCAAGUAUCUGCCGUAUCAACUUUCGAUGGUAGUGUAUCUGACUACCAUGGUGAUCACGCGUAACGGAGAAUAAGGGUUCGGCUCCGGAGAGUUCGCCUGAGAAAUCGCGAACACAUCUAAGGAAGGCAGCAGGCGCGAAAAUUACCCACUCUCAGCACGAGGAGGUAGUGACGAAAAAUAACGAGACCGUUCUCUUAUGAGGCCGGUCAUCGGAAUGGGUACAAUUUAAACCCUUUAACG